AAACAUCUAAGUACCCCGAGGAAAAGAAAUCAACCGAGAUUCCCUCAGUAGCGGCGAGCGAACGGGGAUUAGCCCUUAAGCAUCUUGGAAGUUAGUGGAACGGUCCUGGAAAGGCCGGCGAUACAGGGUGAUAGCCCCGUACACGAAAACAACCUUGAUGUGAAAUCGAGUAGGGCGGGACACGUGACAUCCUGUCUGAAUAUGGGGGGACCAUCCUCCAAGGCUAAAUACUCCUGACUGACCGAUAGUGAACCAGUACCGUGAGGGAAAGGCGAAAAGAACCCCUGUGAGGGGAGUGAAAUAGAACCUGAAACCGUGUACGUACAAGCAGUGGGAGCCCUUCGGGGUGACUGCGUACCUUUUGUAUAAUGGGUCAGCGACUUACAUUUUGUAGCGAGGUUAACCGUAUAGGGGAGCCGUAGGGAAACCGAGUCUUAACUGGGCGUCUAGUUGCAAGGUGUAGACCCGAAACCGGGUGAUCUAGCCAUGGGCAGGUUGAAGGUUGAGUAACAUCAACUGGAGGACCGAACCCACUAACGUUGCAAAGUUAGGGGAUGACCUGUGGCUGGGGGUGAAAGGCCAAUCAAACUCGGAGAUAGCUGGUUCUCCCCGAAAGCUAUUUAGGUAGCGCCUCGGACGAAUACUACUGGGGGUAGAGCACUGUUUGGGCUAGGGGGUCAUCCCGACUUACCAACCCCAUGCAAACUCCGAAUACCAGUAAGUAAUAUCCGGGAGACACACGGCGGGUGCUAACGUCCGUCGUGAAGAGGGAAACAACCCAGACCGCCGGCUAAGGUCCCAAAGUUCUGGUUAAGUGGGAAACGAUGUGGGAAGGCUCAGACAGCUAGGAUGUUGGCUUAGAAGCAGCCAUCAUUUAAAGAAAGCGUAAUAGCUCACUAGUCGAGUCGGCCUGCGCGGAAGAUGUAACGGGGCUCAAACCAGG
rnacentral:rRNA from 1 species